GGGUUGUGAGGUUAAGCGACUAAGCGUACACGGUGGAUGCCCUGGCAGUCAGAGGCGAUGAAGGGCGUGCUAAUCUGCGAUAAGCGCCGGUAAGGUGAUAUGAACCGUUAUAACCGGCGAUACCCGAAUGGGGAAACCCAGUGUGAUUCGUCACACUAUCAUUAACUGAAUCCAUAGGUUAAUGAGGCGAACCGGGGGAACUGAAACAUCUAAGUACCCCGAGGAAAAGAAAUCAACCGAGAUUCCCCCAGUAGCGGCGAGCGAACGGGGAGGAGCCCAGAGCCUGAAUCAGCAUGUGUGUUAGUGGAAGCGUCUGGAAAGGCGCGCGAUACAGGGUGACAGCCCCGUACACAAAAGCGCAUGUGCUGUGAGCUCGAUGAGUAGGGCGGGACACGUGGUAUCCUGUCUGAAUAUGGGGGGACCAUCCUCCAAGGCUAAAUACUCCUGACUGACCGAUAGUGAACCAGUACCGUGAGGGAAAGGCGAAAAGAACCCCGGCGAGGGGAGUGAAAAAGAACCUGAAACCGUGUACGUACAAGCAGUGGGAGCACCCUUUUGGGUGUGACUGCGUACCUUUUGUAUAAUGGGUCAGCGACUUAUAUUCUGUAGCAAGGUUAACCGUAUAGGGGAGCCGGAGGGAAACCGAGUCUUAA
rnacentral:rRNA from 1 species